rnacentral:lncRNA from 11 species
CAAAACUCACACCGCGUAAGUCUCACUGCUGCAUUUUUACUCUGCUAUUUUAAUGGGAAUUUACCUCAUAAAGGGGGUGAUUAGCGGCUCUUCAAUUCCCAACAACUUGCCCAGUCUCCAACAGACCUCAACAACCGCUAAGGAUGCCUGCCAUAGAUGUGGGUGAAAUGUCAGGAGAGAAUGCUUCUGGGAACAUGGCCGUACAUGGCCCGGAAAGCUCACAAUAACCUAAAGUGAUGUCAAACAGCAUUAAUUCUGCAGGGUUGAUUCAUCUUCAGUCAUUUGGGCACUCUUUUGCAGAGAAAAACCUUGUCAAACUACAGAUCAUCGGGUUCCACAGCAUUGGGCCAAGGCGGUUAAAGUGGUGUGCAUUAAUCUAUAGCAGACACGGGCUUAAGCGGAUGAAGGGGGAAAGGAAAGGGCCUGAGGCUGUUAGGAAUGGUGGGAGUUGAAGUCCAAAACACGUGGAGGGAAGGCCCAAGUUUGCCCAGGCCUGAUUUAUAUUCUAUGCACUCAGUUCUGCAAGGCCUGCGAGCUGCUUAUAGCCAUGCCUGAUUCAAGCAGUCCCUCCUCCUCAUCACAGACUUUGGCAUGAAAGCUUGAAUCUUCCAAACUUCAUAGAAGUGGGAAGAGAGGCAUCCCUACCCAUCUCUCCGCCUUUUUUCUGUAUCCAACGCGAUGCCUUUGGCUUCCCUUCCCUUGGGACUGAAGCACGCGACGCUGGACCCAAGCGGCGCGUGCCGAGAAGACCGCUCGCGCCCACUUUUCCCCUCGGCUUUGCCUCCUCGAGUGCAAGCCUGCCCACCAGUGCGCAUGCGCAGGUGGAAAGACUGGCUCUCCCGUUCUGUGCUGCUCUCUCGCCUUUCAGGACCUUCUCUCCAGAACUUGCUGAUCAGUACCAAUUGCAAGCUCCAGGAGAUGCACUGCAAGAAUGGUUAAAUAAGAACAGAUGUUGGCUUUGCAGGCUGUACCUACAGACCGGUCUUGGCUGCAAAGCGCUGUAGGCACUCAAACCAAUUCUGAUUCCAAAUCUGGAAAAUUCAAAUGGGCUGCAUUUGAAUGGCCCUCUUACACAUUUACUUGGGAUGACUCUCUUUGUUCAGUGGGAUCUACAUGGCAAAGUAAGUGUUCACAAAAUUGGUCCUUUAUAAUGUGUGGGAUGUGAUUAAUUAAUGUGACAUAAAUUUGAGAACAUGACUGUAUUCCAAAGGUGCAUCUGCACAUUAGAAUUAAUACACUUUGACACCACUUUAACUGCUAUGGCUCCAUGCUAUGGAAUCCUGGAUUUGUAGUUUGUUGAGGCACCAGCAUUCUUAACUCCUUGCAAAAUGGAAACUCCCAUGAUUCCACAGUGUUGAGCAAUGGCAAUUAAAGUCCUGUGAAACUGCAUUAAUUCUACAAGUGAAGGUCGUUACUGGGGUCUGUCACUUGUUGCCUAGCCUGCAUGGGAAGCCCAGUUCUCUGCAGAGCCUAGCAAAGUUACUUUUCCAGACUGGUUAAAACUCUUUAACACUGGUUUUCAAAGGUUGGCAUUUCAGAAAUGUGAAACAUUUCUUUGUUUCACAAACAGAAAAAAAUAUGGGUAGAAUAACAUAAGUAAUUUAAAUGCCUGGCAUAAUUAUAUCUUAAAAUGCAGAAUAAUCUGGUUUAGUGUUGAUAAACUUGUUAGCAUGUUCUCACCUGUGUGGGGGUGCAACAAUGUGGCAGCAUUUGGUCCAGAAGGGAAGUAAUUCUAGUGACUGUUCAGGUAAAUUUUCUACGAAAUGGAAAAGGGUUUAUUUCCUAUGUGGAUAUUGACAUUUGAAUAUAAUAUUUUUCAGUUCUUUAAAAUACGCCAUUUUGAUUUUAUCUUCUGUCUCAAAUGGUGCCUUACAACCUUAGAAAUAUAGUAGAUGGUUGCUUUUUCAGUUAAUGCAAAAAAAAAAAAGAUCAUAAAAAAUGCUUGGGGGAGUCGUUGGUUUUAAUUUUCAAUCAGUUCCACCCACUAGCAUUCUAUCCUCAUGUAGUUGCAUAUAGCUUUAAAAUAAUUGAACACUUCGAUCAAACUGUAUGCUAUCUUUAACCUCUUUUUCAUUUUGGGAGCAGGCAGUAAUAAACUGAAGUAUUCUUGUAUUCUUAAAAGCAACUGUAGUUUUGUAAAAAUUGUGUCAAUCAGAACAUACAUUAAAUAAACAAUUGCCUUUGAUGAAGAAUUAUCUAAAAUUUAAACCAGUGGUUCCCAACCUUUGGUCCUCCAGGUGUUUUGGACUUCAGCUCCCACAGUUCCUAACAGCUGGUAAGAUGGCUGGGAUUUCUGGGAUUUGAAGUCCAAAACAUCUGGAGAACCAAAGGUUGGGAACCACUGUUUUAAACUAAGGGAUAUAAUAUGCUAAUCUUCUGUGCUGCAUUCUCAGUAUAUUUUUAUAAUGUUCUUCUAUCAUACUAUUGAAUUGUAGCCUCCCUCCAGGAUUCCCGCACUUCUGUUUUUCAGACUGAUAUCUGUGGGAUAAAAUGAAAGUCAAAGGUAGAAAUUCUGAAAGAAUAUUGUUUUAGGAGAAGUUCCGUUUUUUAUUUUUCUUUGAAGUUCAGAACAUCUCAAUGUUAGAACUGAUCAGACUGUACAGAACAGAUAUGGCACAUGAUUUCAUGAGCUAAGAUGAGUGCUUUAACCAAGACUAACUGGUUAGUCGUUGUAAUAAUGCGUAUAAUUAAGCUUAUCCUUAAAAUAAAAUGGCCCAACAUAUUCAAAUAUUUUAAAAUACAAUUUCUUGAUCAUAUAUCUCCUAAUAUUCUAAAUAGUUAAACACGAAUUGAAGGGAAAAACCCCUUCCAUAUUUGAAGAUGGUUCCUCUUUGUAAAACACCUCUUUGUAAAACACUACAAUGCAUUUUUUCUGUUGGCUUAAAGAUAUGCUGGUGGGCUCUUCAACUCUUCAGUCUUUCUGGAGAGAUUACAGUCUGUUAACAGGAAGACCCUUUAGUAUGGAUUUGAGUCAGCAUACUUCCAAGAACUGCUUUGAAAGUACCUGAUAAUGCUUUCUCUGAAAAGCUAGCUGUGUUAGGCUAAAAUCUUGUUGGCUAGUUCCAACUAAAGUAGUUCAUCUAAUUGGUUUUUGAACAACUAGGUGAAAUCCAUUGAGUAGGCUUCUUCUCAUAGAAAUAACUAUAAGAUUUUAGCUCGGUGUAGCCAAAAUAACAGAAUCUUCGGAUACCAUAAACCCUAACACGUUAAAUAUAGGGAAUGAUUUUGUAGACUAGAGUCAAUUUCAGCAGAAGCAGCUGAUGAAGUGUACUCAAAAGUUUUUUUUUUUAAAUUUCAGUAGCGCUUGUACCCCUCAAUUAUUCAAGUAUUUACUAUCUGCUUUACAACCGUUAAUGGAAAGUCUUCCAGUUUACACAAAAAGACAGGGGUAUAUGUUUAAUUUUAUUGUGUCUGGGAACUUGGGAGAGGUUUCUGCUUAAGAUCAGGAGUACUUUCAUAUUUCUAAUAUUUAGUGAUGGCUGAGUUUCUUAUAGACCUCACUUUCUUGGGAAAGAUGGUAGUGGAAAUUGUUGCAGAGCAGUUCCAGGUAAAUAAUUCAAUGGUAAGAUAGAUAUAGGUUGUUUGAAAGAUGAUAUCAGUGGUGCUAUGUUUGCGGUUUGCAUAUGGCUUUUUAUGGAAUUUUAAUAUUAAAAGUUUCAAUAUUAUAAAUUGUUUAAUUGCUUUUAAAGUAACUCUUAUAAUUAAACUUUUAUUAAUUACUUUGCAUCAUUUUAAUAUGUUGUUUUUCAAUAUUGUAUGUUGUUAGCUGUCUGGAAUAUAUUGGAAGAAAGAUGGAAUAUGCAGCAAAUUAAUAAAAUAACAAGUCCACAAAUGUUUAGGCCCUGUUGUGUGUUAGGUUUUAUGAAGUCCAAAGAUUUUUCACCGUUUUGCUA